rnacentral:tRNA from 1 species
GCCACUGUGUUGAAACAGGUAGACAAACUUGACUCAAAAUCAAGCGCCGAAUAAGCGUGCCGGUUCGAAUCCGGCCAGUGGCACCA